GUGCAGCAGGCGCGAAACUUUACAAUGUGCGAAAGCACGAUAAGGGAACUCUGAGUGCCUCCUAAGGAGGCUGUUCAGGUGUCUAAAAGCACCUGGAGUAAGGGCUGGGUAAGACCGGUGCCAGCCGCCGCGGUAACACCGGCAGCCCAGGUGGUAGCCACUUUUAUUGGGUCUAAAGCGUCCGUAGCCGGUUGAGUAAGUUCCUUGGGAAAUUUGGCUGCUCAACAGUCAAGCUUCCAGGGAAUACUGCUCGACUUGGGACUGGGAGAGGUCAGAGGUACUCCAGGGGUAGGGAUGAAAAUCCAUUAAUCCCUGGGGGACCACCGGUAGCGAAGGCGUCUGACCAGACCAGGUCCGACGGUGAGGGACGAAGGCUAGGGUCGCGAACCGGAUUAGAUA
rnacentral:rRNA from 1 species